GAUGAACGCUGGCGGCGUGCCUAAUACAUGCAAGUCGAGCGAACGGACGAGAAGCUUGCUUCUCUGAUGUUAGCGGCGGACGGGUGAGUAACACGUGGAUAACCUACCUAUAAGACUGGGAUAACUUCGGGAAACCGGAGCUAAUACCGGAUAAUAUUUUGAACCGCAUGGUUCAAAAGUGAAAGACGGUCUUGCUGUCACUUAUAGAUGGAUCCGCGCUGCAUUAGCUAGUUGGUAAGGUAACGGCUUACCAAGGCAACGAUGCAUAGCCGACGUGAGAGGGUGAUCGGCCACACUGGAACUGAGACACGGUCCAGACUCCUACGGGAGGCAGCAGUAGGGAAUCUUCCGCAAUGGGCGAAAGCCUGACGGAGCAACGCCGCGUGAGUGAUGAAGGUCUUCGGAUCGUAAAACUCUGUUAUUAGGGAAGAACAUAUGUGUAAGUAACUGUGCACAUCGUGACGGUACCUAAUCAGAAAGCCACGGCUAACUACGUG
rnacentral:rRNA from 1 species